GGGUCGUUAGCUCAGUUGGUAGAGCAGUUGGCUUUUAACCAAUUGGUCGAUGGUUCGAGCCCAUCACGACCCACCA
rnacentral:tRNA from 2 species